UACGUAGGGUGCAAGCGUUACUCGGAAUCACUGGGCGUAAAGCGUGCGUAGGCGGUUCGUUAAGUCUGCUGUGAAAAGCCCUGGGCUCAACCUGGGAACUGCAGUGGAUACUGGCGGACUAGAGUGUGAUAGAGGAUGGUGGAAUUCCCGGUGUAGCGGUGAAAUGCGUAGAGAUCGGGAGGAACACCAGUGGCGAAGGCGGCCAUCUGGAUCAACACUGACGCUGAGGCACGAAAGCGUGGGGAAGCAAACAGGG
rnacentral:rRNA from 1 species